AACGAACGCUGGCGGCAGGCCUAACACAUGCAAGUCGAGCGAAGCCUUCGGGCUUAGCGGCGGACGGGUGAGUAACGCGUGGGAACGUGCCCUUUGGUACGGAAUAGCCCCGGGAAACUGGGAGUAAUACCGUAUGUGGUCGAGAGACGAAAGAUUUAUCGCCAAAGGAUCGGCCCGCGUUGGAUUAGGGAGUUGGUGGGGUAAUGGCCUACCAAGCCGACGAUCCAUAGCUGGUUUGAGAGGAUGAUCAGCCACACUGGGACUGAGACACGGCCCAUACUCCUACGGGAGGCAGCAGUGGGGAAUCUUAGACAAUGGGGGAAACCCUGAUCUAGCCAUGCCGCGUGAUCGAUGAAGGCCUUAGGGUUGUAAAGAUCUUUCAGUGGGGAAGAUAAUGACUGUACCCACAGAAGAAGCCCCGGCUAACUCCGUGCCAGCAGCCGCGGUAAAAC
rnacentral:rRNA from 1 species